rnacentral:rRNA from 1 species
UACGAAGGGUGCAAGCGUUGCUCGGAAUUACUGGGCGUAAAGGGUGCGUAGGUGGUUUUUUAAGUCCGUUGUGAAAUCCCUGGGCUCAACCUGGGAAUGGCAGUGGAUACUGGAAAGCUAGAGUGCGGUAGAGGGUAGUGGAAUUCCCGGUGUAGCAGUGAAAUUCGUAGAUAUUCGCAAGAACACCAGUGGCGAAGGCGGCUCACUGGCCCGAUACUGACGCUGAUGCACGAAAGCGUGGGGAGCAAACAGG